rnacentral:rRNA from 1 species
UACGAAGGGGGCUAGCGUUGCUCGGAAUCACUGGGCGUAAAGGGUGCGUAGGCGGGUCUUUUAAGUCAGGGGUGAAAUCCUGGAGCUCAACUCCAGAACUGCCUUUGAUACUGAAGAUCUUGAGUUCGGGAGGGGUGAGUGGAACUGCGAGUGUAGAGGUGAAAUUCGUAGAUAUUCGCAAGAACACCAGUGGCGAAGGCGGCUCACUGGCCCGAUACUGACGCUGAGGCACGAAAGCGUGGGGAG